GAUGAAGAACGCAGCGAAAUGCGAUAAGUAAUGUGAAUUGCAGAAUUCAGUGAAUCAUCGAAUCUUUGAACGCACAUUGCGCCCGCCUGUAUUCUGGCGGGCAUGCCUGUUCGAGCGUCAUUUCAACCAUCAAGCCCCCGGCUUGUGUUGGGGACCUGCGGCUGCCGCAGGCCCUGAAAAGCAGUGGCGGGCUCGCUGUCACACCGAGCGUAGUAGCAUACAUCUCGCUCUGGGCGUGCUGCGGGUUCCGGCCGUUAAACCACCUUCAUAACCCAAGGUUGACCUCGGAUCAGGUAGGAAGACCCGCUGAACUUAAGCAUAUCAAUAAGCGGAGGA
rnacentral:misc_RNA from 1 species